UCUACGGGGGGCAGCAGUGGGGAAUAUUGGACAAUGGGCGAAAGCCUGAUCCAGCCAUGCCGCGUGUGUGAAGAAGGCCUUCGGGUUGUAAAGCACUUUCAGUGGGGAAGAAAGCCUUGGGGCUAAUACCCUCGAGGAAGGACAUCACCCACAGAAGAAGCACCGGCUAACUCCGUGCCAGCAGCCGCGGUAAUACGGAGGGUGCGAGCGUUAAUCGGAAUUACUGGGCGUAAAGCGCGCGUAGGCGGUCUGAUAAGCCGGUUGUGAAAGCCCCGGGCUCAACCUGGGAACGGCAUCCGGAACUGUCAGGCUAGAGUGCAGGAGAGGAAGGUAGAAUUCCCGGUGUAGCGGUGAAAUGCGUAGAGAUCGGGAGGAAUACCAGUGGCGAAGGCGGCCUUCUGGACUGACACUGACGCUGAGGUGCGAAAGCGUGGGUAGCAAACAGGAUUAGAUACCCCUGUAGUC
rnacentral:rRNA from 1 species